GAGCCAGACUCCAUCUCAAAAAAGAAGUUUAUUCAGACAGAAAAUGUCUUCAGUGUUACUUCCAAAAGAUAUGGCCUGGCGUGGUGGCUCACACCUAUAAUCCCAGCACUUUGGGAGACCAAGGUGGGCAGAUAACCAAAGGUCAGGAGUUCAAGACCAGCCUGGCCAUCACGGCGAAACCCUGUCUCUACUAAAAAUACAAAAAUUAGCCUGGCAUGGUAGCAGGCACCUGUAGUCCUAGCUACUUGAAAGGCUGAGGCAAGAGAAUCGCUUGAACCCAGAAGGCGGAGGCUGCAGUGAGCUGAGAUUGUGCCACCACACUCCAGCCUGGGCAACAAGAGCAAGACUCCAUCUCAAAAAAAAAAAAAAUCCUGAAUUUACUAAUAUUCACCUCCACUGAUACCAUCUGUGAAAUUAGAACAUCUGUGAGCAGUGAAUUAUAGAAUAAUAAAUAUGGAUACUUGAUACAUC